UACGGAGGGUGCAAGCGUUAUCCGGAUUCACUGGGUUUAAAGGGUGCGUAGGUGGGCUUGUAAGUCAGUGGUGAAAUCUCCGUGCUUAACAUGGAAACUGCCAUUGAUACUAUAGGUCUUGAAUUUUCUGGAGGAUAGCGGAAUAUGUCAUGUAGCGGUGAAAUGCUUAGAUAUGACAUAGAACACCAAUUGCGAAGGCAGCUAUCUACAGGGAUAUUGACACUGAGGCACGAGAGCGUGGGGAUCAAACAGG
rnacentral:rRNA from 1 species